GGGCCUGUAGCUCAGGGGUUUAGAGCGCUCGCCUCACACGCGAGAGGUCACUGGUUCAAAUCCAGUCAGGCCCA
rnacentral:tRNA from 1 species